GGGAUCUUCCGGGUCCCACCGCGCGCUGCUCGCGGGCAAGCCGCUGGGCUCUGGCGCCUUGAGCAUCCGAGCAGGUCCUGCCCCCGCCGUAGGCGUGGGGACCUAGAGCUGCCCUCCGCUCCUUGUCCCGGGCCAGAGGCGGACACUAGGCGGUAGAAGCAGCUGCAGGGUCUGCCCUGCCCCCGCCCCGCGCGGAGAGCUGCUGCCAGGAACAGCAAUAUUAAUAGCAAUCCUGAGAGGGGGGCUGUUGUCAACCCCAACUUUGAGGACCCUGAGGACAUCAAGGGCUUAUAGCUGCCAUUUCUGCAAAGGAAUGUAGCAGUCCUUACGGCUUCACUUGGCCCUGUGACGCAGCUGAUUCAACACCACUUAAGUGGAGUCACUGGAUACAGCUUAGGCAAGCUCUACUGAGAACGACGCAGCCCACGCCUCCAGGGCUAGAGGACAAGUGUGUGGCGUGUUUGCAGAUGGCCAUCAAUUCGUGGCUGUGGGUCUUCAUCAGGCAGCCGGUGGGUCCUGCAUGCAUGGCCUCUCACUCACUGACAGCAGCAGUCUGUCACCCUGUGGAGAUGGCACAUGAGAGAUCUGCACUGGCAGGUGCAGAAGGCCCAGGUAAGCCGUGUGAGCAGGUGGCCUAGAUGCCUUCCAUGGCGGCUCUUGCUUCACUGACUCUUCCUGGGACCUCCGAGGUUGCUCCUUGGGAUCAAUUGGCUGAGAAGGAAUGAAUUCAAGCCUGGCUUACAGAUGGCACUGCAGGAUAUGCUGGCACCAACAGAAAGUGGGCAGCUGAAGCCCUCAGCCCACUCCAGGAGGACCUGCAUAACUUGGGUAACAGAAUGUCUUGCAGUGGGCAGAGCAUCAAGAGGCGCGCGUGUAUUUGUGUACUUGGCCUCAACUGAGAGACGGACGGAGGCAGGGAUCUACAAUGACUCGGCUGGCCAGUGAGGGAGGAAAACCACUGCUGUCAGGUGACCACCAGGCCUCAGGACAGAGGAUGUGUGUGACCGGAGCGCUCCAGAUAGGCACAGAAUGGGAAGAAGGAAAUUGUGUCACAGGUGUUUAUGAGUCAGCACUGAAAAAAUAAAAUAAAAUAAAAUAAAUGCCCGAGACAAUUAGGUUCAAAAGAAGAAAGGUAGGGGGAUCGAUGGCUCAGAGGUUAAGAGCACUGACUGCUUCUUGAGAGGUUCUGAGUUCAACUCCCAGCAACCAUGUGGUGGGUCGAACCCAUCUAUACUGGGGUCUGAUGCCCAAUUCUGGCAUGCAGGAAUACAUGCAAACAGAGCACUAUAUAGAUAAAUAAACAAGGAGAAAGGUU